GACGAACGUUGGCGGCGUGCUUAACACAUGCAAGUCGAACGAGAAAGUCCUGGGAUGAGUACAGUGGCGAACGGGUGCAUAACGCGUGAGAAUCUACCCUUGAGUGAAGGAUACCCACGAGAAAUCGUGGCUAAUACUGCAUAAGUCCGGGAAACCCGGAGAAAGACGGCCUCUUUGCUGUCGCUGAAGGAUGAGCUUGCGUCCUAUUAGCUAGUUGGUGAGGUAAUGGCUCACCAAGGCAACGAUGGGUAGCCGGCCUGAGAGGGUGUACGGCCACAUUGGGACUGAGAUACGGCCCAGACUCCUACGGGAGGCAGCAGUGGGGAAUAUUGCGCAAUGGGGGGAAACCCCUGACGCAGCGACGCCGCGUGGAGGAUGAAGGUCUUAGGAUUGUAAACUUCUGUUAAGUGAGACGAAAGACUCAUCUCUAAUACAGAUGAGGGAUGACGGUACCACUAGAGAAAGCACCGGCUAAUCUCGUGCCAGC
rnacentral:rRNA from 1 species